rnacentral:lncRNA from 1 species
CAGGUAGGCGGGGAGGCGCCGAGAGCCGGUCUCUCCCGCCCCAAACUUCCCGCAAGUGGCCCAGGCGCUCGCGCCGAGUUGACCGCGACUCGCAGCGCGUCGCUCGUGCGGCCACCGGGAGCGAAGGGCUGCUCUGUUAGCUUCUGGAGGUGCCGGUCGGUCCAACUUUUCCCAGCGCCGCCUUGUGUGGGCUGGGGAAACGAGCACUCCCCGGCUCGGAGCGCUCCUCCGUGGGUGGGCAGCGAUCUGUCCCCUGCUUCGUACACCGAGAGAGGUGCACGCCGAGUGACAGACGCGGACGUGGAAGUGACCGGCGAAGAACUCGUGUGGCACCGAGCCCCUGAAUGCCAAACUAAAAGAAUGGGUUCAAUUUGUCUCCGGGUGUUGAUUUUAAACACCGUGGCCCUAGAGAAACAAAGCGCUCAGGAGCACUGUGGAGCUUUGCGCGCUGACCAGAGAGAUUACAGUGCUAUCCUCCACAGGUGUAAAGAAAAAAUUUAAGCUCUUCAGUUUCAAAGGAAAGGGACAGGAAGUCCUAGAAACAGGAAGAAAAAGAGAACAAAGGAUUAAAAGAAAUGACUUGCUGAUGGUCUGUCGCCAACUGAAUAUGGAAGAGUCUGUGGCUGAGAUCAUGAGCCAGUUGGGUGCAGAUGAAAACGGGAAGAUUUCCUUUCAGGAUUUUACAAGGUGUCGUAUGCAGCUAGUCCAAGAAAUUAGGAAGGAAGAAGUAGACCUCUCUGUGAAGUCAGACAACUCCUGUAAAAAGAAGAAGCUAAGGGACAGAAUUGAUUCCUGGCCCACGAGCAGUGACAACAGUCUGGCUGCUCCCUCCUGGCAUUAAUCGCUUCAUUUCAGCCAGCAUAAACCAAAAAGUUCAUGGAGACCCAGGUGUACUUAUCUCCGGUGGGAAUCCUGCUAUGAAGGGCGCCAGCGAUUACCUGUGCUGAUGAUAUCUUUU